ensembl:lncRNA
CACUGAUAUAAAGUUUUUCAUAAUUUUUUUCAUAUUUUUUAGGUUUUUAUGGCUUUAUUGUCAUAAAAACCCCUGUUUUUUUGGGGGUAAAAAACCAUAAUAUGCAAUAUUUUUAAAAAAUGAGUUGCAAAUGGAACUACUUGGCAUGAGGUUAUUAGAGCCUUGGAUAGGUAAAGAAUUCAUAACAGAAUUGAUUUGGCUGCAUUAUUAUUUUUGGAGCAAUAAGAGUUUUUACAGUAUACAUCCAUUGGUAUCCCUUGGGACCCAAAGGGGUCCCCAUCCAAAAGGUGAUAUAGCAAUAUCAUAUAUGAAUUAAUUUUUCAUUUUUUUUCACAUCAGAUCUUUUAAACAACUUCAGACCUAUCCACUGAUAUAAAGUUUUUCAUAAUUUUCUUUUACAUUUUUUUAGGUUUUUAUGGCGUUAUUGUCAUAAAGACCCCUGUUUAUUUUUUAUUUUGGGGGGUAAAAAACCAUAAUAUGCAAUAUUUUCAAAAAAUGAGUUGCAAAUGGAACUACUUGGCAUGAGGUUAUUAGAGCCUUGGAUAGGUAAAGAAUUCAGAAUAGAAUUGAUUUGGAUGCAUUAUUAUUUUUGGAGCAAUAAGAGUUUUUCAAAUUUACACCCUUUUAUGGUCCUCGGGACCCAAAAUGGUCCCCAUCCAAAAGGUGAUAUAGCAAUGGAUUUUAUGAAUUUUUUUUCCAGUUUUUUUCACACCAGAUCUUUUAAACAACUUCAGACCUAUCCACUGAUAUAAAGUUUUUCAUAAUUUUCUCAAUAUUUUUUAUGUUUUUAUGGCUUUAUUGUCAUAAAGACCCCUGUUUAUUUUCUUUGGGGGGUAAAAAACCAUAAUAUGCAAUAUUUUCAAAAAAUGAGUUGCAAAUGGAACUACUUGGCAUGAGGUUAUUAGAGCCUUGGAUAGGUAAAGAAUUCAGAAUAGAAUUGAUUUGGAUGCAUUAUUAUUUUUGGAGCAAUAAGAGUUUUUCAAAUUUACACCCUUUUAUGGUCCUCGGGACCCAAAAUGGUCCCCAUCCAAAAGGUGAUAUAGCAAUGAAUUUUAUGAAUUGUUUUUUCAUUUUUUUUCACAUCAGAUCUUUUAAACAACUUCAGACCUAUCCACAGAUAUAAAGUUUUUCAUAAAUUUGUAAAUAUUUUUUAUGUUUUUAUAGCUUUAUUGUCAUAAAGACCCCUGUUUAUUUUUUAUUUAUUUAUUUUGGGGGUGGGGGGUGGGGGGGGAAACCCGUAAUAUAUAUUAUAAAUAUAUUCUCAAUCACAUUCACACCACUCUCUUAUAUCAGUUCCACUACAUCGAGACUAUUUUAUGGUGGUCAGCUGUUUUAUUGUCAUGUAUUUUGCAUAAUAAGAUAACCAUGUCCUGCAUUCAAAACCACUGAAAAUGUCUAUGGUGGUGCUGUACCUAAUAUUGUGCUCAUUGGAUCCGAAACAUAUUUUUCCUUUAUUUUGAAGCCUGAGGCUUAGAUCCAUUAGGUAUUCACGAGAAAAAAAUUAUCACAUGUCAGGAUUACAGUAUAUCGAAAAUAUGUGAUUAUAAUGGGAGUCAAUGGGACCCAAAAUGGUACGAGGACCACAGACGGUAACACUUAUGUGAAUCUCCUUUACUAUACACAACACCAUAGAGGGGAUCAAUGAAUUUUAAAAAUAAUGCUAAAAUGCAACUCCUAGCCAAGUUUCAUGCAACUAGUCUUUAAAAUGACUGAUAUAUUGAGAAUCAAAAAUCCAAGGGGACCCAAAAGGGUCCCUAUUUUGACGAUGACCAUCAGAGGGUUAA